rnacentral:lncRNA from 1 species
UGAAGUUUUAUUUCUUGUAUAUUUCCGUAUAUUUAUCUUUUUAAUGGGCUGGAUUUAAAAAUAUCUUUAUCCAGCUUAUGAGAGGUAUCCACUCAUCUAUUACUCAAUUUUCACUCAAUUCCACCAUUUUGGUGCAGGAUUUUUUUUAUCACGAGUCACCACCUUGAUCACCAUGUUAACCAGUUCAGUCUUAAUUUUUUUAAAAGAAUUCAUCUUCUAUUGCAUUAUAUGUAUCCACUGAUUCUACACUUCUUAUAAACUCUCUGGCUCCUUAUCUUUAGUAACUAUAAUAUACUCAUAAAUAGGAUAUCUUGUAAAU